rnacentral:rRNA from 1 species
GAUGAACGCUAGCUACAGGCUUAACACAUGCAAGUCGAGGGGCAGCGGGGUUGUAGCAAUACAACUGCCGGCGACCGGCGCACGGGUGAGUAACACGUAUCCAACCUUCCGGUUACUCGGGAAUAGCCUUUCGAAAGAAAGAUUAAUGCCCGAUGGUAUAGGGAUUCUGCAUGGAGACCCUAUUAAAGAUUUAUCGGUAACCGAUGGGGAUGCGUUCCAUUAGGCAGUUGGCGGGGUAACGGCCCACCAAACCUACGAUGGAUAGGGGUUCUGAGAGGAAGGUCCCCCACAUUGGAACUGAGACACGGUCCAAACUCCUACGGGAGGCAGCAGUGAGGAAUAUUGGUCAAUGGGCGAGAGCCUGAACCAGCCAAGUAGCGUGAAGGAUGACUGCCCUAUGGGUUGUAAACUGCUUUUAUAAGGAUAAAGUGGAGUCGUGACUCUUUUUGCAUGUACCUUAUGAAUAAGGACCGGCUAAUUCCGUG